rnacentral:rRNA from 1 species
CAAUAGCGUAUAUUAAAGUUGUUGCAGUUAGAACGCUCGUAGUCGGAUUUCGGGGCGGGCCGACCGGUCUGCCGAUGGGUACGCACUGGUCGGCGCGUCCUUCCUUCCGGAGACCGCCUCUGUUCUUAACUGAAUGGGUGCGGGAGACGGAUCGUUUACUUUGAAAAAAUCAGAGUGUUUCAAGCAGGCAGCUCGCUCUUGCAUGGAUUAGCAUGGGAUAAUGAAAUAGGACUUUGGUGCUAUUUUGUUGGUUUCGAACACCGAAGUAAUGAUUAAAAGGGACAGUCAGGGGCACUCGUAUUCCGCCGAGAGAGGUGAAAUUCUCAGACCAGCGGAAGACGAGCCACUGCGAAAGCAUUUGCCAGGGAUGUUUUCACUGA